rnacentral:lncRNA from 1 species
CCGUCGCCGCGUCCACGCCGCUGCCGGACGAGCGCAGGCGGGAGCGCAAGCGGCGUCGGGACACCAGCCCGGCGGGACGGCUCGUGCUCGAGCUCAGUGACGAAGUACGGAAGAUGCAGUGCGAGUUCAGCGUGCCGGCCACGUGGCUGCGGCGCGUGGUGCAGGCGCGGCGCCGCGCCGUGCUGGACCGGCGGCGCGCGCUGCGGGCGCAGGACGACGACACAGGGUUCCUGGGCUGGAGCAGCUCGGAGAGCGCGGAGGCGAGCACGCUGCUGCGCACGAGCUCGGCGCGGCGCCCCGACGACAGCGAC